GAUGAACGCUGGCGGCGUGCCUAAUACAUGCAAGUCGAGCGAACAGACGAGGAGCUUGCUCCUCUGACGUUAGCGGCGGACGGGUGAGUAACACGUGGAUAACCUACCUAUAAGACUGGGAUUACUUCGGGAAACCGGAGCUAAUACCUGAUAAUAUAUUGAACCGCAUGGUUCAAUAGUGAAAGACGGUUUUGCUGUCACUUAUAGAUUGAUCCGCGCCGCAUUAGCUAGUUGGUAAGGUAACGGCUUACCAAGGCGACGAUGCGUAGCCGACCUGAGAGGGUGAUCGGCCACACUGGAACUGAGACACGGUCCAGAAGCCUACGGGAGGCAGCAGUAGGGAAUCUUCCGCAAUGGGCGAAAGCCUGACGGAGCAACGCCGCGUGAGUGAUGAAGGUCUUAGGAUCGUAAAACUCCGUUAUUAGGGAAGAAAAAAUGUGUAAGUAACUAUGCACAUCUUGACGGUACCUAAUCAGAAAGCCACGGAUAACUACGUG
rnacentral:rRNA from 1 species